CCUACGGGGGGCUGCAGUGGGGAAUAUUGGACAAUGGGGGAAACCCUGAUCCAGCGACGCCGCGUGAGUGAAGAAGUAUUUCGGUAUGUAAAGCUCUAUCAGCAGGGAAGAAAGAAAUGACGGUACCUGAGUAAGAAGCCCCGGCUAACUACGUGCCAGCAGCCGCGGUAAUACGUAGGGGGCAAGCGUUAUCCGGAAUUACUGGGUGUAAAGGGAGCGUAGACGGCAGUGCAAGUCUGGAGUGAAAGGCGGGGGCUCAACCCCCGGACUGCUCUGGAAACUGUACGGCUGGAGUGCAGGAGAGGUAAGUGGAAUUCCUAGUGUAGCGGUGAAAUGCGUAGAUAUUAGGAGGAACACCAGUGGCGAAGGCGGCUUACUGGACUGUAACUGACGUUGAGGCUCGAAAGCGUGGGGAGCAAACAGGAUUAGAUACCCCAGUC
rnacentral:rRNA from 1 species